rnacentral:rRNA from 1 species
UACGAGGGGGGCAAAUGUUGUUCGGAAUCACUGGGCGUAAAGGGCGCGUAGGCGGCCUGAUAAGUAGGGGGUGAAAUCCUGCGGCUUAACCGCAGGGCUGCCUUCUAAACUGUCAGGCUCGAGCACAGUAGAGGCAGGUGGAAUUCCCGGUGUAGCGGUGGAAUGCGUAGAGAUCGGGAAGAACAUCAGUGGCGAAGGCGGCCUGCUGGGCUGUUGCUGACGCUGAGGCGCGACAGCGUGGGGAGCAAACAGG